rnacentral:tRNA from 1 species
GCCCCGUUAGCUCAACUGGCAGAGCAGUUGCCUCUUAAGCAAACGGUUGCAGGUUCGAGUCCUGCACGGGGCACCA